rnacentral:rRNA from 1 species
UACGUAGGGCGCAAGCGUUGUCCGGAAUUAUUGGGCGUAAAGAGCUCGUAGGCGGUCUGUUACGUCCGCUGUGAAAACCCAGGGCUUAACCCUGGGCUGGCAGUGGAUACGGACAGACUAGAGGUAGGUAGGGGAGAAUGGAAUUCCCGGUGUAGCGGUGAAAUGCGCAGAUAUCGGGAGGAACACCGGUGGCGAAGGCGGUUCUCUGGGCCUUACCUGACGCUGAGGAGCGAAAGCGUGGGGAGCGAACAGG